rnacentral:lncRNA from 1 species
GGGGACUUGGGAGCGCGCGCUGCCCCUCACUUGGCUGCAACUGGACCCAGAACUAGGGAAGAGGCCAGGGACAGAUUUUUUUUUUUUAUUUUUAUUUUUUUUGCCGAGGGACGUUUCAAAAUUUUGCACGGCCAGGGUGACAAAAAGAGGAUUUAAGAGCCACAAGCGGUCCGCACAUGACCCAGACUUCGUUCCUGUGCGGUAACGUAGGGAGAGAAGGAAAGGGUGUGGGGGGAAUAAGGGAGUGGGUCAGGUGAAAGAGCGCGACAGAGGGAGAGAUCUAGCAAGUGGAGUUCUGUUUUACUUGCUAUUCUUCCCCUUUAGUCUUUUUUCUCAGGUCCACUUGCCUCAUAACCAACUUCUUGUUUUUUCCUCUGAAAAACUUCGCUAGCUAACAUCAACUAUUCCAGCUGUUUGAGAACUUAUCUUCCUUCCGUUUUCCAACUCUUCCUACUUUUUUAUGUGCUUGAUUUUGUUUUGUUUCCUGGUAAAUGCUGUUUGCCUGUUUGCAUUCAGCAGAAUUCAGUUUUUGUGCAAACCUGCAGUUUUGAUGUAUUAGCGUUGUGGGGGUUUUCCCUCUGGCACGCACACACAUGGCGCUCUCAGAGAUGAUAUUGCUCAACCCCUUUUAUGUUACAGAGGAAAAGCAAGAGGCCCAGAGAGAGGAAGCGGCUUGCCCAGGGUGAGAAGGGUGAGGAAGGAAGCUAGCCAAUGGGAGAAGGCUGGUCUUAUGAACCGUUCUAGUGUGUCAGUCUGAUCGCCAAAAAUUAUUAGGUGGCACUAUUUCCAGGUGCCUCCUUGCUCAGUUUAAGUAUCACCCUUUUCCGUAAGAGCCUCCCGUUCUUUCCUGGCUUUUGUUGGUAAUUGGGGCUCCUUUCUCCCACUGAGCCUACUAGGUGUCAGGCCCUGUGGACACAGUGAUGAACAAGACAGACCUGAUGUGUCCCCGUUUUCUUUGGGAUAUGAAUUUUUGCCCCCUUUGCACUGGUCACAAAUCAAUAUUCAUAUGUCCAUUUUUUAAUUGUAAAGAAAGUUUAAAACAGUCUUUAUUCAAUGAUUGAAUAAUAGAAAAAGAUCUUGUGGACCUCUUAGUCUAAUGGAUUCAUUUUAAAAUUGGGAAAUGGAGAUUCAGAGAGUUAAAUCACUUGCUGAAUGUCAUAUUGCCACUUAGUAAGAUUUAAGAAUGAACCUCAGGCACAUUGAUUUUCAGUUUAGUUUAUUUCUACUAAUCUAAUAAUUCCCAUACUGUUCUCUCUCAAAAAUAACUACUAACUCUCCAUUCCACGCACACACAAAAAAUUGAUUCUCAAACUGAUCAGACCCCAAAUCCUUUACUUUCUGAAAUGAAAUUAAUAUAUAAACUGCUUACACACUUAAUAAAAAGAAAUGUAAUGCCAAAUGUAAUAUAAAGAAGAAAUCAGAUAUUUUAAAUAUAUUUCUAGUAUAAUAAGUUAUAUCCCAUCAUGUAAAAUGUUCAAGUAUGACUGUGUUGGAAAACAUAAUGAGGCACUCAGAUACUUGCUCUUCACACUUCUGUAACCACCCAAUGGAUUCACCUGGCCUGCUGCCUAGACAGAGCCAAUUUAUCAAGACAGGGGAAUUGCAAUGGAGGAAGAGUAAUUCAUACAGAGCCGGCUGUGGGGGAGACGGGAGUUUUAUUAUCACUCAAAUCAGUCUCCCCGAGCAUUCAGGGAUCAGAGUUUUCAAAGAUAAUUUGGUGGGUAGGGGCUUGGGAAGUGGGG